rnacentral:rRNA from 1 species
UACGGAGGGAGCUAGCGUUAUUCGGAAUUACUGGGCGUAAAGCGCACGUAGGCGGCUUUGUAAGUUAGAGGUGAAAGCCCGGGGCUCAACUCCGGAACUGCCUUUAAGACUGCAUCGCUUGAAUCCAGGAGAGGUGAGUGGAAUUCCGAGUGUAGAGGUGAAAUUCGUAGAUAUUCGGAAGAACACCAGUGGCGAAGGCGGCUCACUGGACUGGUAUUGACGCUGAGGUGCGAAAGCGUGGGGAGCAAACAGG